rnacentral:rRNA from 1 species
ACGGCUUACCAAGGCGACGAUACGUAGCCGACCUGAGAGGGUGAUCGGCCACACUGGAACUGAGACACGGUCCAGACUCCUACGGGAGGCAGCAGUAGGGAAUCUUCCGCAAUGGGCGAAAGCCUGACGGAGCAACGCCGCGUGAGUGAUGAAGGUCUUCGGAUCGUAAAACUCUGUUGUUAGGGAAGAACAAAUUUGUUAGUAACUGAACAAGUCUUGACGGUACCUAACCAGAAAGCCACGGCUAACUACGUGCCAGCAGCCGCGGUAAUACGUAGGUGGCAAGCGUUAUCCGGAAUUAUUGGGCGUAAAGCGCGCGAAGGCGGUUUCUUAAGUCUGAUGUGAAAGCCCACGGCUCAACCGUGGAGGGUCAUUGGAAACUGGGAAACUUGAGUGCAGAAGAGGAGAGUGGAAUUCCAUGUGUAGCGGUGAAAUGCGCAGAGAUAUGGAGGAACACCAGUGGCGAAGGCGGCUCUCUGGUCUGUAACUGACGCUGAUGUGCGAAAGCGUGGGGAUCAAACAGGAUUAGAUACCCUGGUAGUCCACGCCGUAAACGAUGAGUGCUAAGUGUUAGGGGGUUUCCGCCCCUUAGUGCUGCAGCUAACGCAUUAAGCACUCCGCCUGGGGAGUACGACCGCAAGGUUGAAACUCAAAGGAAUUGACGGGGACCCGCACAAGCGGUGGAGCAUGUGGUUUAAUU